AGAAGAAGAAAUACCCGUGAAAAAUGUGACCAUCCAAAGAAUUCCAAGGGUUCCAGAAACGUUGCCACUUUAUGAUAUUUUGAAUGAGUUCCAGAAGGGCCAUAGCCACAUGGCUGUUGUUGUCAGACAUUGUGAGAAGACAGGGCAACAGUCUUCCAACAAUAAUGCCGAUGUGAGAGAUGUAAAGGUAGAUAUUGAUGGUGGUGA